UAGGGAAUCUUCGGCAAUGGACGAAAGUCUGACCGAGCAACGCCGCGUGAGUGAAGAAGGUUUUCGGAUCGUAAAACUCUGUUGUUAGAGAAGAACAAGGACGUUAGUAACUGAACGUCGCCUGACGGUAUCUAACCAGAAAGCCACGGCUAACUACGUGCCAGCAGCCGCGGUAAUACGUAGGUGGCAAGCGUUGUCCGGAUUUAUUGGGCGUAAAGCGAGCGCAGGCGGUUUCUUAAGUCUGAUGUGAAAGCCCCCGGCUCAACCGGGGAGGGUCAUUGGAAACUGGGAGACUUGAGUGCAGAAGAGGAGAGUGGAAUUCCAUGUGUAGCGGUGAAAUGCGUAGAUAUAUGGAGGAACACCAGUGGAGAAGGCGGCUCUCUGGUCUGUAACUGACGCUGAGGCUCGAAAGCGUGGGGAGCAAACAGG
rnacentral:rRNA from 1 species